rnacentral:rRNA from 1 species
UACGUAGGUGGCAAGCGUUGUCCGGAUUUACUGGGCGUAAAGAGCGCGCAGGCGGUCGUUCAAGUCGAGUGUGAAAGCCCCCGGCUCAACUGGGGAGGGUCACUCGAUACUGAUCGACUUGAAGGCAGGAGAGGGAAGCGGAAUUCCCGGUGUAGUGGUGGAAAUGCGUAGAUAUCGGGAGGAACACCAGUGGCGAAGGCGGCUUCCUGGC